rnacentral:rRNA from 1 species
CCUACGGGUGACAGCAGUGAGGAAUAUUGGUCAAUGGACGAGAGUCUGAACCAGCCAAGUAGCGUGAAGGAUGACUGCCCUAUGGGUUGUAAACUUCUUUUAUCAAGGAAUAAAGUGAGGCACGUGUGCCUUUUUGUAUGUACUUUAUGAAUAAGGAUCGGCUAACUCCGUGCCAGCAGCCGCGGUAAUACGGAGGAUCCGAGCGUUAUCCGGAUUUAUUGGGGUUAAAGGGAGCGGAGAUGGGUUGUUAAGUCAGUUGUGAAAGUUUGCGGCUCAACCGUAAAAGUGCAAUUGAUACUGGCAGUCUUGAGUAGGGGUGAGGUAGGCGGAAUUCGUGGUGUAGCGGUGAAAUGCUUAGAUAUCACGAAGAACUCCGAUUGCGAAGGCAGCUUACUAACCUGCCACUGACAUUGAUGCUCGAAAGUGUGGGUAUCAAACAGGAUUAGAUACCCGAGUAGUC